rnacentral:rRNA from 1 species
GUGCAGCAGUCGAGAAACUCCGCAAUGCUCGAAAGAGUGACGGGGGAUUCCAAGUGCCUACGCUUAGCGUAGGCUGUUCAGAUGCCUAAAAGCAUCUGGAGUAAGGGCUGGGUAAGACGGGUGCCAUCUGCAGUGGUAAUGAAAAACUUGCUACUGCAAGGCAUAAGCCGCCGCGGUAAUACCCGCAGCCCGAGUGGUAGUCGCUUUUAUUGGGCCUAAAGCGUCCGUAGCCGGUCUGGUAAAUGCCUGGGGUAAAAUCGUGGGGCCCAACCUCACGAAUUCCGGGUAGACUGCCAGACUUGGGACCGGUUGAGGGAGAGGGUACUCCAGGGGUAGGGGUGAAAUCCUGUAAUCCUUGGAGGACCACCGGUGGCGAAAAGCGCUCUCCUAGGACGGUCGACGGUGAGGGACGAAAGCCAGGGGAGCAAAACCGGAUUAGAUACCCGUGUAGU